GAUGAACGCUGGCGGCGUGCCUAACACAUGCAAGUCGAACGAUGAAACCGCCCUCGGGCGGACAUGAAGUGGCGAACGGGUGAGUAACACGUGACCAACCUGCCCCUUGCUCCGGGACAACCUUGGGAAACCGAGGCUAAUACCGGAUACUCCUCGCCCCCCUCCUGGGGGGCCCGGGAAAGCCCAGACGGCAAGGGAUGGGGUCGCGGCCCAUUAGGUAGUAGGCGGGGUAACGGCCCACCUAGCCCGCGAUGGGUAGCCGGGUUGAGAGACCGACCGGCCACAUUGGGACUGAGAUACGGCCCAGACUCCUACGGGAGGCAGCAGUGGGGAAUUUUGCGCAAUGGGGGAAACCCUGACGCAGCAACGCCGCGUGCGGGACGACGGCCUUCGGGCUGUAAACCGCUUUCAGCAGGGAAGAAAUUCGACGGUAC
rnacentral:rRNA from 1 species